rnacentral:lncRNA from 1 species
GGGCACUUCAGAACUUCAAAGAGAACACCCUUGGGCAAUUCAGUCGGAGCCAGCGUAGCCAGCUUGGAGAGAAGAUCGGCCCUGGUAUUUUCCAUCCUUGAAAUCUGCCUGAUGUUGAAGCUACCGAAGGCGGGGACGAGCUCCUUUCCAUUUCGAGAUACUUAGCCAUGCUGUCCUCUCGUGCUUCAUAGUUUCCACUGACUUGUCCCACUACCAAUUGGGAGUCGCUGUGAACUUGGAGCUGAUAUACUCCCAACUCUUUGGCGAUCUUCAAUCCUGCGAUUAGAG